rnacentral:rRNA from 3 species
CCUGAUGCAGCAACGCCGCGUGAGGGAUGACGGCCUUCGGGUUGUAAACCUCUUUUAGCAAGGAAGAAGCGAAAGUGACGGUACUUGCAGAAAAAGCGCCGGCUAACUACGUGCCAGCAGCCGCGGUAAUACGUAGGGCGCAAGCGUUAUCCGGAAUUAUUGGGCGUAAAGAGCUCGUAGGCGGUUUGUCGCGUCUGCUGUGAAAUCCCGAGGCUCAACCUCGGGCCUGCAGUGGGUACGGGCAGACUAGAGUGCGGUAGGGGAGAUUGGAAUUCCUGGUGUAGCGGUGGAAUGCGCAGAUAUCAGGAGGAACACCGAUGGCGAAGGCAGAUCUCUGGGCCGUAACUGACGCUGAGGAGCGAAAGGGUGGGGAGCAAACAGGCUUAGAUACCCUGGUAGUCCACCCCGUAAACGUUGGGAACUAGUUGUGGGGUCCUUUCCACGGAUUCCGUGACGCAGCUAACGCAUUAAGUUCCCCGCCUGGGGAGUACGGCCGCAAGGCUAAAACUCAAAGGAAUUGACGGGGACCCGCACAAGCGGCGGAGCAUGCGGAUUAAUUCGAUGCAACGCGAAGAACCUUACCAAGGCUUGACAUACACGAGAACACUCUAGAAAUAGGGGACUCUUUGG